UCACAAUCCAGCCUGACAUGUUCCCAGGUGCUGUUCUGGCAUGAGAAAGCUGUAAAAUCAGUCAUACAGCUUAGCUCUGGGAAGGAGGUGGGACGGGAAGAGGAGUGUAAGAUUUCACAAUGCUCACUUUUCCUUGUGUCUUCACUGGGUUGAAAUGGAUGGAAAAAAGCCAAUAUCCAGCAGAAAGUGGAGGCUGGGGGGAUACAGUACUGAACCAAUAUCCUGGUGAUUUAUGACCUUCCUGGGACACUGUGAAGAAUAAGAGAGAUUGACAGGAAAAUGUCUUCAGAGCAAACGCACGCCAGAUGGAAUGAAAACGGUUUAUUGGAGUAUGGAGGUGCUGUUGAACUGAAUAGAGGGCGGGUUUAAGAGCAAAGGCAGGAAAACAGCCAUAAAUGGGAGGAAACAGCACAAAAGAAAGGAAGAAAAUACAACUCUAAACUGUGAAUCUCCCUGACAUCUUUUCAUUAUCAGCAUAGUCAAUGAAGAAUGCCACAAAGGAAAGCACAUCAUAUUAUUGAAACAUAAUGGUUUGGGGUUUUUUUGAAGGAUGCACUUGUAUAUUCUCUGUGGAUAGCUUUUUUUAUUUAAUUAUAUUGGCCAUUAUUAACUCUGUAAUUGUGUUUUACAUGUAGGGCUUGGAUUAAGUGUUUUUCUGUAUCAUAUACACUUGUAUCACUCUUUUUAGUUUUUUCAGGGCUUUUUUCCUUAUGCAAACACAUCAGAGAGAAAAUAUUGAGUUGCUUCCUUUAUUUGUAUUAUACUUUAAAACAAAACAAACCUUUUUAUCUUUGAUAACGUGCUUCUUUUUUUUCCUAAGGAAUAUUUAUUUAGACAGUAAAAAGAUGUUAUGGUUCUUUCCACUAGUAGAAGUGUAUGCACUGAAUAUGCUCCAAUGUAAUUUGCAGAAAGUGAGGAAAACACUCUGGAAAAGUAAGCAGGGAGUUUUGCCAUGUCGUUUCAUCUGAUAACUACAAUACUAUGAUAACAAAGCUUUAGGCAAUAUGCUUAAAACUGACAGAAAACGUAACAGGCAAAGUCUUAUAAUGAUCCAUUUAUAUUACAUAUUUUAUAAAUUCAUUUGUCUUUUUUUUUCAUGUUUUGUCUUGUUCAGAAUCCUGCUAUAAAGUUCUAUUUAACUCUUCUUUUGUAUUAGUCCUGACAGAGCUAUAAAAUUUGCUUGUAUGAUUCUUGUGGUCUUUGGGGUUUUGCUUCAAUUUCCUUAGCAUUUGGCUAUAUAUUGGCACACAAGCUGUUCCUCACAAUGCAAGAGAAAAUACUUUUUUAUUAAAAAAAA